rnacentral:rRNA from 1 species
UACGGAGGGUGCGAGCGUUGUCCGGAAUUACUGGGCGUAAAGCGCGCGUAGGCGGCUUUGUAAGUUAGAGGUGAAAGCCCGGAGCUCAACUCCGGAAUUGCCUUUAAGACUGCAUCGCUAGAAUCAUGGAGAGGUUAGUGGAAUUCCGAGUGUAGAGGUGAAAUUCGUAGAUAUUCGGAAGAACACCAGUGGCGAAGGCGACUAACUGGACAUGUAUUGACGCUGAGGUGCGAAAGCGUGGGGAGCAAACAGA